rnacentral:lncRNA from 1 species
UGCUCCUGGGCUUCUGAGCCUCACCCUAUGAUGAGAACUCUUCCCCUAGGAGCUCUUCUGGAAUGCUUGAACUGUGUUGACACCUUAGUUCAUUUGUGUCUGCCUUGUUGGCUCAGGAGAGCUCUUGCCUUGCCCGUCUCCAAACCACAACAAAAGGCUGGAGGAGGAGGCAGCAGCUGCCAUAUGGCAUAAUGAAAAAGAUGGUGACUUCAAAACAGCUGGAUGCUAAUCACACCUCUGCUAGCAUCACAAGAGCCCCUCGAGUGGAAAUGGGGCUGGAUCCUGCACAUCUGGAAGUGACUGGGAAUCCAGUGACUACAUCUCAAACUGCAGAUGUUUUUCCCAUACUGGUGUCAGGACCAAAGGUCAUACUCAUGCAUCUGCUCUAUUUCCAUGCUUUGUAUAUCUGGGUAAACAGUUACUGCUUAAUCAAUGUAGAUGCCCAUGAAGCAAGGCAGUGGCCUGGCAAGGGAGAGCACGCAGAAUCUGAUGAGGCACUCAAAGGCUGCACCAUUGAAAAGGUGGAGGACUACCUAGAAGAGUGGAGCAGCUUCCCCUGAGGACACUCGCAGGGGAGUGGAGACUGGGAAGGGACCAGCAGGGCCUGCAAACAGCACCACAGCUUCCUGCCAGCCACAGAUGUAGCUGGACAGUGUGCUCGACCUGAAAUGCCCAGCAGACAGCCUGGAACAGAAAUCCGGCUGCGACCCAAGCCAGCACACACAGGGAGCCAGAGCUGUCGGCCAGCUCCCUGAGCCCGCACAUGUUGCCUCUGGGAACCAUUAAUCUACUUCUAUCCUUAUGGAUUUGGAGAUUUUGGACAUUUCCUAGAAAUGGACUCAUCACGUUUAUGGAUUUCUGCAGCUGGCUCUUUUCAUCGCAUCUUAUGUAAUAAUGUGUUUGCACGUUUCGCCAUGUGCUAGUAGCUUAUUCAAUUUCAUGUCUGGGCCACACCACACCAUAUGGAGAUACUGCCCUUUAUUUAGCCACUCAUCCAUCAAGGGGCAGUAGAGCUGCCCCCACUUUGAGGGAAAGGCAAUGUGUUACUGUCUGUCCAGCUACAUGAGGCGCCACAAGCUGAUUUUCUGUAAAAGGGUGAGCAGGACUGUAUAUUCUGACCAGCAAUGCGUGAAAGUUUCACUCCCCUCCAUUCUUGCCAACAUUUUUGUCCACCUUUUAGGAAACCAGUGAACAUUAAGUGGUGUCUCCUGGUUCUCACUGCUUCCUAAAUGGCUCUGAUGGCGAGUUUCUUUUCACCUGGUUUGGGAUGUUUACAUCCAAUCUUCUCUGGAAAAACACUUAAAUUCUUUGUCCCUUUAGCUGGAAGUUUUUCUUUCUAUUGUUGAG